GACGAACGCUGGCGGCGUGCUUAACACAUGCAAGUCGAACGGAAAGGCCCUGCUUUUGUUGUGCGUUCAUGAGGCGCGAGGGGGUGAAAAACGCGUGUAACCUGCGCUUGAUUUCGGGAUAUCAUCAUGAAACACGGGAUAAUAUCGCGUAUAAGCUUCAGCAGUGCGGUGUGGUUAGUUAAGUGUUGGCGGUUGGUCAUGGACUGGUGGGUCGUCAUGUUGUUGGUGAGGUAGUGGGUUAACAAGGCUCCGACGGGUGGCCGGCCUGCGAGGGUGACCGGCCACAUUGGGACUAGGAUGCGGCCAGGAGUCCUACGGGGGGCAGCAGUGGGGACUAGUGCGCAAUGGGCGGAAGGCGGAUGCAGCGACGCCGGGUGGGGGAUGACGGUCUUCGGGUUAUAAAGCGCUUUCGCCUGUGACGAAGCGUGAGUGACGGUAAUGGGUAAAGAAGCACCGGCUAACUACGUG
rnacentral:rRNA from 1 species